UGUUGAUGGCGACCGGCGCACGGGUGAGUAACGCGUAUCCAACCUGCCCUUUACUAUGGGACAGCCCGUCGAAAGGCGGAUUAAUACCGUAUGUUGUCAUGUUGAUGCAUAUUUUCAUGACCAAAGGCUUCGGCCGGUAAAGGAUGGGGAUGCGUCUGAUUAGCUUGCCGGCGGGGUAACGGCCCACCGGGGCGACGAUCAGUAGGGGUUCUGAGAGGAAGGUCCCCCCCAUUGGAACUGAGACACGGUCCAAACUCCUACGGAAGGCAGCAG
rnacentral:rRNA from 1 species